UAAUACCAGCUCCCCGAGUGUUAAGGACGAUUAUUGGGCCUAAAGCGUCCGUAGCUGGCUUGAUAAGUUUCCCGUUAAAUCCGACGAUCCAAUCGUCGGGCUGCGGGAAAUACUGUUAAGCUAGGAGGCGGGAGAGGCCGGCGGUACUUUUGGGGUAGGGGUGAGAUCCUAUAAUCCCAAGAGGACCACCAGUGGCGAAGGCGACCGGCCAGAACGCACUCGACGGUGAGGGACGAAAGCUGGGGGAGCAAACCGGAUUAGAUACCCGGGUAGUCCCAGCUGUAAACGAUGCGGGCCAAGUGUCGGGAUGGCCAUAGAGCCAUCUCGGUGCUGCAGGGAAGCCGUUAAGCCCGCCGCCUGGGGAGUACGGCCGCAAGGUUG
rnacentral:rRNA from 1 species